rnacentral:lncRNA from 1 species
UGAGUGAGUGUGCAUCAUUAAGAUGAACCUGCUGAACCGCCAGAAUCCUGAUGGUGAUGAGAAGGUGCUGCCUUCUAAGAGGUCCAGAUGUCUUGAAAACCAGAAAAGAUCCAAAUUUGAAAUGAUGGAGAUGCAAAAUGCAAGGCCCUCAAGAUCACAGGAAUGGCAGAACCUGGACAUCAUCAAGGGUGCCAGACGAUGCCCAGUAACCCAGCAGUGUCUUUGAGGACUAUACAAGAAGAUACUUUGUCACUGAUGGAAGCACCUGCCUCAGGCUCACUGGAACAAAAUCUGUGGCUUCUCUUGUUUGAUCUAAUUCCCGCUGAUCUUUCUGGUGUCUUCUGGUGCUGUUUGUACACCUUUGGCUCCUUAGGAUUCAGAAUCACCCUCAACACUGGAAAGCCUACAGCUAGCGGCCACACCUCAGCAAAAGUGAAGACUACUAGUUUCUGUUGCUUGUUCAUGAGAUCUUUUUCACCUCUUUUGUGAGCAUCAAAGAGAUUGAAAUGAUUUGGACUACCUUCAUUCUCAAAAGCAAUGCACGACUGUAGCUGUGAUAGAGACUGGAGGACCACAAAGAUAUUCACUACCUGCUCUUUUAUAGAAAGUUGGCAACUCUUACUUUAGAGAAUUCACUUGGAUGGUAAGUAUUCUUGGUUUUAAUCUUUAACAUAAUGAGGAUUUUGUCCAUCCACACUUUUGUUGAAUAGGAUUGGCUGCAGGACGGUCUUAUUCCAGUAGACUUUUCUAUAACGUGUGUUGCAAGUUCAGCCAAGCCUGCUGCUAAA